CCUACGGGAGGCAGCAGUGAGGAAUAUUGGUCAAUGGGCGAGAGCCUGAACCAGCCAAGUCGCGUGAGGGAUGAAGGAACUCUGGAUGGUAAACUUCUUUUAUAAGGGAGUAAAUGGAGGGACGUGUGCAAUUUUGCAUGUACUUUAUGAUUACGGAUCGGCUAACUCCGUGCCAGCAGCCGCGGUAAUACGGAGGAUCCGAGCGUUAUCCGGAUUUAUUGGGUUUAAAGGGAGCGUAGAUGGGUUGUUAAGUCAGUGGUGAAAGUUGGGGGCUCAACCGUAGAAUUGCCAUUGAUACUGGCAGGCUUGAGUACAGUUGAGGUAGGCGGAAUGCGUGGUGUAGCGGUGAAAUGCUUAGAUAUCACGAAGAACCCCGAUGGCGAAGGCAGCUUACUAAGCUGUGACUGACGUUGAUGCUCGAAAGCGUGGGGAUCAAACAGGAUUAGAUACCCCUGUAGUC
rnacentral:rRNA from 1 species